GGUCGAGCUAUCCACUGGAGCGUUCUUAGCUGCUUUUUUUAACUUUUUAGUAUGGAAAAACUAUUCAAGUCUAAUGGCACGAAAGAGAAUAAUGACGCACAAUACACUUCGACAGUUUAAACGGAUUCACAUGAUUACAACUAAAACGGGGGAGAAGAUCUGAAGAGCCGCAGCAGAGUGAAGAGUGGAGCGUGGAGAGCGGAGAGCGGAGACCGUGGAGUGGAGAGGCGAUGACGACAACGGCUGCGUUGCCCUUAGCUGCGCUGCAUUGGCAGCGACAAAUGUCGUGCCCAUUUUAUCAAGUCAUAACAGUGGGCCACAUGGCAUUAAGACGCGCUAAGCUCUCAUCCAAUCAGCAUCUCUGGCUUGGCCCACAGUGCGCGGCUAUGUCAAGCACUUCACUUCCUUCGGGAGCAGGCACUUCAAUGCAUCCUUUAGACAAACAAAUUGCUAAAUAUAAUGGAUCAAGGUGGGCGUGGCCAGAUCGUUGAUGGUAGUUGGACUUCCUUGCCGUCCUUAGCAUGCGGUCGUCGUGGCGCCUGUGAGCUGUCCGGGAAGAGAAAAUUCUGGUUGCGCGGAUAAUAGUCGAGCGUUAAAUAUUGUUUGUUAAAUAAUUCGUUAGUGCAUAUGCCAUUGUCGAGCUCGACAAUCAACAGCAACGGCAAUACGGAGGAGACGAUCCAGCGAAAUGCAGGGAGCCAACAGUAUACUCACGAAAGCAGAGACACCGAAAGAAGAAUGCAGGCAAUCCAGACAGAGUGAGAGCAAGAACGCGAGCUGUCCAGAGAGUGUGUCGGCGAUGCAACCGAUGAUGCGUGACAUCAGUGAACACAGUAGAACGAUGAUCCAAAGCAGACUGGAUAAGAGCAAUAACAAAUUGUUCCCGCGAGUCCGUUAUUACGUUCAGAUUUUAUAUUUUUAUUAAACACUUGUUAACAACCGAAUCACUGGUGAUCAACACAAUUAAUGUUCAAUAAUAAUGAGAACA